GUAAGGAAUAUUGGUCAAUGGGCGCAAGCCUGAACCAGCCAUCCUGCGUGCAGGAAGAAGGCCCUAUGGGUUGUAAACUGCUUUUGUCAGGGAAUAAACCUGUGGAUUUAUCCGCAGCUGAAGGUACCUGAAGAAUAAGCACCGGCUAACUCCGUGCCAGCAGCCGCGGUAAUACGGAGGGUGCAAGCGUUAUCCGGAAUUACUGGGUUUAAAGGGUGCGUAGGCGGCCCUGUAAGUCAGGAGUGAAAGUUUGCGGCUUAACCGUAAAAUUGCUUUUGAUACUGCAGGGCUAGAAUCAGGAUGAGGUCAGCGGAAUGUGGCAUGUAGCGGUGAAAUGCAUAGAUAUGCCAUAGAACACCAAUUGCGAAGGCAGCUGGCUAGACCUGCAUUGACGCUGAGGCACGAAAGCGUGGGGAGCGAACAGGAUUAGAAACCCCAGUAGUCC
rnacentral:rRNA from 1 species